rnacentral:tRNA from 1 species
GCCUGGGUGGCUCAGUCGGUUAAGUGUCUGACUUCAGCUCAGGUCGUGAUCUCACAGUUCCGUGGGUUCAAGCCCCACAUCGGGCU